GCAGUCGAGCGAGCGGAUAUGCGGAAUUUUUCGGUAAGGAAGCAUAACUAGACUGAGCGGCGGACGGGUGAGUAACGACGUGGAUAACCUGCCUCAGUACAGGGGGAUAACAGUUAGAAUGACUGCUAAUACCGCAUAAGCGCACAGAGAUGCAUGUCUCGGUGUGAAAAGCUGAGGCGGUAUGAGAUGGAUCCGCGUCUGAUUAGCUGGUUGCGGGGUAGAGGCCACCCAAGGCGACGAUCAGUAGCCGACCUGAGAGGGUGGCCGGCCACAUUGGGACUGAGACACGGCCCAAACUCCUACGGGAGGCAGCAGUGGGGGAUAUUGCACAAUGGGGGAAACCCUGAUGCAGCAACGCCGCGUGAGUGAAGAGGUAUUUCGGUAUGUAAAGCUCUAUCAGCAGGGAAGAGAAUGACGGUACCUGACUAAGAAGCCCCGGCUAACUACGUG
rnacentral:rRNA from 1 species